AUAAUAUAUAAACUAAUCAUCUUAUUGACUUUAAUGUUAAACACAGUUAUUGUAUAAUCAUCCAGCUUCCACAAACUCUGUAUUAAUGAAAGUGUGUACUUUACCAUUUUCAGUGUUUUCAGAGCCUCUGAUUGUCUCAUAGACACAACGAUCACCUACAGAGUUCAAACUGCAGCAGAUGUAAUAAUUACAGUCUGGAUGCAAAGAGCAUCAGAAUAUUUUAAAGUAGAUGAAAAACUAACCAUGAAGAAGAGAGGAGUACACUUGCUGCUGAUGUUCAUCCUGAUUCACCGUCUGCUCAUUAGCAGGACCUUUAUUAAAAAUCGAUACAACAAGAGCAGGAGAAUAAUGAGGAGAGAGACUCCACAAACCAGUCCAACAAUCAGCCACACAGAGCUGUCAGCUGCUGACACAGUUACUG